CCCCCCAGACCGAAGGCCCAGGAUCUCGGACAAAUGAAUGCCAUGCUACCACUCCAGCGAAUGUGACCAGCCUGGCUGCCACGGCGGCCCAUCGAAACAUCACCUACGUCGUCGGCCUCUCACCGGGGCGACCGAUGUGCGCUAGCGUUGGUUGGGCGAAAAGUGCAUUGACUCUGAAGGAGCGCACGCCUUGAGCGCAACUGGGCCCGUCACGGGGAGCACCGAACGACGCCAGACACCAUUCCAGCCCAUCGCGUGCCAACUGCCCCGAACAUUUUGCUUCGCAAAAGCCGUGAUGUACUCGACUAGGACGAUGCAUGGUGCGGUUGGACAUAGUGUUGUUACAUAGUGUUGUUACAUAGUGUCGUUACAUAGUGUCGUUACAUAGUGUCGUUACAUAGUGUCGUUACAUAGUGUCGUUACAUAGUGUCGUUACAUAGUGUCGUUACAUAGUGUCGUUGGACACCCAGGCGGGUGUCCGGUCUUGUACGGGGGGGAGUGUCGGGCCCUUGGGCCCUCUCUGCAGCGCGCACGGGGGAAGCCUUUGAAACGCGCGCCACAACGGCACUCGUCGCAUGGAGCAUGCGCACCGAUCGCGUAUCGUGAGAACUCGCGCGGGGAACGCCGGGAAGGCGGCUGCCCGAUAAGAAGGCAGCGGAGACUGCACUCGGGGCUUUUUUGCCGGGGCGCGGGCCUGGGGAGGCGCUGGUGGGGCGUGGCCCGUCUAGGUUUCUUUCCGAGCGUGCUGCAGAGCAGGGGGAAAGCGUAUUUGCAUUGUGUCCGCGGAAAGAGUGCUCUUGUUCGCUUUUGGAACUGUGCUUGCGCGCCUGGCUCGGUGCUUGCUUGCUUUCUGGGCUUUAUGCAUUGUGUUAUCGACCGAAAGAUUGUGUUGGUUGAUGGUUUGUAACGGCCGUUCUUUCGUCGCUCUCUUUGGCUUGUAUAUUUUGUUGCCUCGCUCUUUUGCUGCUUGCUUCUUUGCUUUUGCUGCUUUUUGCUGAUUUGCUUCUUUGCUGUUUGCUUGUUUUCUUCUUUGGCCGCGAGGCUGCGGUAAUUGAUCGAGUGUUUCAUAUUACCGUAAAUUAAAGCGGUUUUUGUUCUUUG